CAGUAGCCUCGGGAAUACAGAGGGUGCGAGCGUUAAUCGGAUUUACUGGGCGUAAAGCGUGCGUAGGCGGCUUUUUAAGUCGGAUGUGAAAUCCCUGAGCUUAACUUGGGAAUUGCAUUCGAUACUGGUUAGCUAGAGUGUGGGAGAGGAUGGUAGAAUUCCAGGUGUAGCGGUGAAAUGCGUAGAGAUCUGGAGGAAUACCGAUGGCGAAGGCAGCCAUCUGGCCUAACACUGACGCUGAGGUACGAAAGCAUGGGGAGCAAACAGGAUUAGAUACCCCGGUAGUCCCUGUCUCUUAUAC
rnacentral:rRNA from 1 species